rnacentral:lncRNA from 1 species
CAAAUAGAAUUCACUGGUCCAUUAUAUGAACACAAAGACUGUUAGAAUGUGCAUGCCUGCACUGCCCUCCCCUUCAGCCAUCCAAGAUGCCAAAAGGAAAGAAGGUGAAAGGGAAGAAGGCAGCCCUGGCUCCUGCUGUCAUAAAGAAGCAGGCCAACAAGGUGGUCAAUCCCCUGUUGGAGAAAAGGCUCAAGAAUUUGUCAAGGCAUCAGACAGGAUAUCCAGCCCCAAAGGAACCUCACCUGCUUUGUCGAAUGGUCUUGCUACGUCCGGCUGCGGCAGCAAAGGGCUAUUCUCUAUAGACAUCUAAAAGGGCCUCUUGUGAUUAACCAGUUCACCCAGGCCUUGGACUGCCAAAUAGCUACUCAGCUGCUUAAGCUCACCCACAGACAUCGACCAGAGACAAAGUAAGAGAGGAAGCAGAGAUUGUUGGCCUGGGCUGAGAAGAAAGCUGCAAACGGAUAUCCCCACUAAAAGGCCGCCUGCCCUUCAAGCUGGGGUUACUAUGUCACCACCUUGGUAAAAAAUAAGGCUUAGCUGGAGUGAUUGCACAUGAUGUGCAGCCCAUUGAGGUCGUUGUCCUCCUGCCUGCCCUGUGUUGUAAGAUGGGCGUUCCCUACUGCAUUAUCAAGGGAAGGCCAGGCUAGGGCAUCUGGUCCACCGGAAGACCUGCAUCGCUAGGGCCUUCAUACAGGUUAACUUGGAAGACAAAGGAGCUCUAGCUAAACUGGUAGGAGCUAUCAGAACCAAUUACAAAGGCAGAUAUGAUGAGAUCUGAGGAGGGCCUAAACUGGUGGCUUGCAUUGCCAAGCUAGAAAAGGCAAAGGCUAAAGAACUGGCCACCAAGCUGGGCUAAGUGUACGCUAUUGAAUUUUCUGUAUAUAAAAGUGAUUUUAAAAAGUUCUCUUUCACAAAAAAAUUAAAAAAAAUAAAAACAUGCAGAUGGACUUCUCUAUCUACUCCAAUCUAAGCGUACACUGUUGAAUUUUCUGUAUGUAAAAAUGAUUUUAAAAGUUCUCUU